rnacentral:rRNA from 1 species
UGAGGAAUUUUGGACAAUGGGGGAAACCCUGAUCCAGCCAUCCCGCGUGUGCGAUGAAGGCCUUCGGGUUGUAAAGCACUUUUGGCAGGAAAGAAACGUCAUGGGUUAAUACCCCGUGAAACUGACGGUACCUGCAGAAUAAGCACCGGCUAACUACGUGCCAGCAGCCGCGGUAAUACGUAGGGUGCAAGCGUUAAUCGGAAUUACUGGGCGUAAAGCGUGCGCAGGCGGUUCGGAAAGAAAGAUGUGAAAUCCCAGAGCUCAACUUUGGAACUGCAUUUUUAACUACCGGGCUAGAGUGUGUCAGAGGGAGGUGGAAUUCCGCGUGUAGCAGUGAAAUGCGUAGAUAUGCGGAGGAACACCGAUGGCGAAGGCAGCCUCCUGGGAUAACACGGACGCUCAUGCACGAAAGCGUGGGGAGCAAACAGG